rnacentral:rRNA from 1 species
CGGGCAUGCUUUACACAUGCAAGUCGAACGGCAGCGGGGGCUUCGGCCUGCCGGCGAGUGGCGAACGGGUGAGUAAUGCAUCGGAACGUGCCCAUGUCGUGGGGGAUAACGUAGCGAAAGCUACGCUAAUACCGCAUACGCCCUGAGGGGGAAAGCGGGGGAUUCUUCGGAACCUCGCGCGAUUGGAGCGGCCGAUGUCGGAUUAGCUAGUAGGUGAGGUAAAGGCUCACCUAGGCGACGAUCCGUAGCGGGUCUGAGAGGAUGAUCCGCCACACUGGGACUGAGACACGGCCCAGACUCCUACGGGAGGCAGCAGUGGGGAAUUUUGGACAAUGGGCGCAAGCCUGAUCCAGCCAUGCCGCGUGAGUGAAGAAGGCCUUCGGGUUGUAAAGCUCUUUCGGCCGGGAAGAAAUCGUGGUCUCUAACAUAGGCCAUGGAUGACGGUACCGGACUAAGAAGCACCGGCUAACUACGUGCCAGCAGCCGCGGUAAUACGUAGGGUGCGAGCGUUAAUCGGAAUUACUGGGC